ensembl:lncRNA
GUCCUGCAGGAGCAGUUGGGACUGUCGUUCAUCUGGCUGUAGUGUUCUUAACUGCAGUGAUGUCUACAUCCUCCUCAGACCUAAUAUGGCUAUAAGAGAGCUUUUGAUGCUGCUCCCCAAAACCUGUUUGGCAUCUCAAUCUCCCUGGAGCCUACCCAGAUAAUCCAAGAUGAUCACUCCAUCUCAAGAUCCUUGGUUUAAUCCCAUCUGGAAAGCCUCCCAUUCUUUACCAUAUAAGGUGGUUCACAGAUAUCUUCAAGCCCCGCUGUGCUUCAUGACUACAUUUUUAGGCGCCAUCCUGGAUGUGUUGCUGUCCAUGGUGCUGAAGCCUCAUUGAGCCAAAGAGUCAAUUAAGUUUUGGUGCCUGGAAGCAAAGGGUGGGGCUGGAUGACCCAUGAGAUCUUCCUCCCCAGAAGGACUCUUGGACUAAGCCAUAGGAAGAUCCUAAAUUAGAGGAGAGAGCUGUUGGGGAGUGAAGAAAGAAGACUUAACCUGCCAAAGCCUCAGUAAGGCUAGAAAAACAAGACUCUUGCCAGAAAAGGUUUUUCUGUCCUGAGGGAAUUGCAUAACAGCAGGGUAAUUUAUAUAUACAAAUAUAUGUAUGAAUAUAUGUGCGUACACACACACACACACACACAUAUAUGCUUUGUGAUAUUUGUGCAGACUUAACACACAGCAUGAAAGCUUAAAGCCAACAAGCGAAAUUUAGUUAGCACGGCAUCCCUUAUUCUCAAUUUAUUAUUUCACCAGGGACUCAUGCAGGCUGCAGGCCUGGAGAAGUGGUGGCGGAGAGAGAGCCAGCAACCCAGGCACCAGUUGAAUUAUGUGUCACAAUUUAUAAACCAUUACGUGCUGUG